AAGUUUGAUGGCGACCGGCGCACGGGUGAGUAACACGUAUCCAACCUGCCGAUGACUCGGGGAUAGCCUUUCGAAAGAAAGAUUAAUACCCGAUGGCAUAGUUCUUCCGCAUGGUAGAACUAUUAAAGAAUUUCGGUCAUCGAUGGGGAUGCGUUCCAUUAGGUUGUUGGCGGGUAACGGCCACCAAGCCUUCGAUGGAUAGGGGUUCUGAGAGGAAGGUCCCCCACAUUGGAACUGAGACACGGUCCAAACUCCUACGGGAGGCAGCAUG
rnacentral:rRNA from 1 species